CCUACGGGGGGCAGCAGUGGGGAAUAUUGCGCAAUGGGCGAAAGCCUGACGCAGCGACGCCGCGUGAGGGAUGAAGGUCUUCGGAUCGUAAACUUCUGUCAGCAGGGAAGAACGGUCACUGUGCUAAUCAGCAGUGAAUUGACGGUACCUGCAAAGGAAGCACCGGCUAACUCCGUGCCAGCAGCCGCGGUAAUACGGAGGGUGCGAGCGUUAAUCGGAAUUACUGGGCGUAAAGCGCUCGUAGGCGGUAUGUCAAGUCAAGGGUGAAAUCCCCGCGCUCAACGUGGGAACUGCCUUUGAAACUGGCAAACCGGAGUGUGUGAGAGGAUAGUGGAAUUCCAGGUGUAGGAGUGAAAUCCGUAGAUAUCUGGAGGAACAUCAGUGGCGAAGGCGACUAUCUGGCACAUAACUGACGCUGAGGAGCGAAAGCGUGGGUAGCAAACAGGAUUAGAUACCCCAGUAGUC
rnacentral:rRNA from 1 species